AGGAGACCGAUCCGGGAGAAAUACUGAUCAUCAGCAGUGAUUCACUUCUUUUUGGAAGCUGAACAUAUCUGAGGAAUUAUUCAGUCCUGGAACAAAAGCAGCUGUUUUCAGAAUGGAGAGAGGAUCUUAGCUCUGCCUGAAUACUUAGAAUAUCUCUGAUAUGUGAUUAAAAAGUCAACGAGGUCACAGAAUUUCUCCAGGACGCAACCUGCAACUACCUGAAGGAGACAAGCCCCAAAACAAAGCAAAACCAUGCACCAAACAGUUGCCUCUGAAUCAGCUAAGAAUUAACUUGUCAUUUUCUUCUGUUAUGGUUUGAGAGAACCUUAGAGAAUAUUGUUAGCCUCAGAGGAGCUGACAGAAGUGCUGCUGUUUUGAAAAUGGAUUCUGACACCAGGCAGGGA